CUAUGGGGUAAAACUAAACUUAGGAGGAAAUGUCUCUCCUAUGGGUAAAGACGUGGGAUGUAUUCCCUUGUUAUACAGGUGGGCGCCUACUGGUAAAGACAUGAAAUGUAUUCCCUUGUUAUACAGGUGGGCGCCUAAAAUAUGAAAUGCACAGACAAAAAAGUAUUCCUCUCGUUAUUCAGGUGGGCGCCUGUCUAAACUAAGACAUAAAAGUAUUCCUCUCGUUAUUCAGGUGGGCGCCUGGUAUGAAAUUUAAAGACUGAAAUGUAUUCCUCUCGUUAUUCAGGUGGGCGCCUGGUAGUAAAGACAUGAAAAAUGAUAUGCCCGCAUUAUACUGGUGGGUGACCUAGAACAGAAAUGAAAAGACAGAAAUGUAUUCCUCUCGUUAUUCAGGUGGGCGCCUGUCUUCAACAAUAACUUUGAAAAUAAAAUCCUAUUCGAGGGCGGAUGAACCCGACAUAUCCUAUUCGAGGACGGAUGAACCCAACAUAUCCUAUUUGAGGGCGGAUGAACCCAGCAUAUCCUGUUUGAGGGCGGAUGAACCCGACAUAUCCUAUUUGAGGGCGGAUGAACCCGAAAUAUCCUAUUCGAGGGCGGAUGAACCCAA
rnacentral:lncRNA from 1 species